CACAAGUGCUGCUGCUGAUGAUGAAGAUGACUGUGUGACUUGGCUGACUGAGUGAGAGAGAAAUUGAUCUUUGUGACAAUGAAAUGGUUCGGCACCAAGUACUUGACUCUCCAUUGUAGCCGAUGACUGUUUUCCAUCACCUCCUGCCAAGGACUUGCCAGUCCCCGAGUCCAAAGGUUUCUGAAGGAAGCAUUUUAGUAGACAUUCUAUAAAUUCUUAUUGCAAAUAGCCUAUUUACAAGUCACCCUCUCUGGCACUCAACUCUGGGGACAGACGUGGACCCUUCAUAGUGGUCCGUUUACUGGCUUAGUACCCACAGAUUAAAUGUCUGUGCACUUAAACGAUUGCAGAAUUGGAAAGUACAGUAUCUUGGCUCCAGGAAAGAUGUAUAACAGAUGGGAUCCGAAAAGUCUUAAUGGACUCAGUGUAAAGUAGGAUACUAACAUGUUGAAAAUCCCAUUAUUUUCUAAGGAGUGAAUAGUAGUUGUCUUCUGUGUCUCACUUUUGCAGGACUGGGAAAUGUUCACAUCUUGGCAUUUGGCAAAGGUUUACAUGCUCUACACUGGCAGAAAACUUAGAUUUUUCCUAGGGAAGAAAGCACACUUAAUUGUGUUUUAAUGGACGCAAUGUUUUUAAAAAUAAAUGUGUAUGAUAGGA